rnacentral:tRNA from 1 species
GCAACUUUAGCUGAGAAGGAUUAGCGUCUCCCUGAAAAGGAGAAGAGGUACGAUCGUUGCGUACAGGUUGCACCA